UCACCCCCUCGGGCCCCGUGCUCGGUGUUGGACGGCCGGUUCGGGCGACCGAACCCCUCCUAAAGACAAUGACGGCGGCCUGUGGUUCCCCCGGUACACUGAGCUUUUCACGAGGCACGUGCCGGACGAGGGCGCCCAGGACCCGGUCCUCUCCUCUCAGCAGGAAACUUCUCAAU
rnacentral:misc_RNA from 1 species